UACGUAGGGUGCGAGCGUUGUCCGGAAUUAUUGGGCGUAAAGAGCUUGUAGGCGGUUUGUCGCGUCUGCUGUGAAAAUCCGGGGCUCAACCCCGGACUUGCAGUGGGUACGGGCAGACUAGAGUGUGGUAGGGGAGACUGGAAUUCCUGGUGUAGCGGUGAAAUGCGCAGAUAUCAGGAGGAACACCGGUGGCGAAGGCGGGACUCUGGGCCGAUACUGACGCUGAGGAGCGAAAGCGUGGGGAGCGAACAGG
rnacentral:rRNA from 1 species